ACAUAUUUAAAGUAAAUUGCAUAUGUGAGCAUUUUUUUUUAUUGAAAUUGUUGUGAAUCAGAAGCAGACAAUAAGAAUUCAGUGAGAAAAAGAUCAUAUUUGUGACGUAGGAGCUCCUUGAUUAUCCACUUGUUGAAAAAUAGAUCCAUGUACGCCUUUGUUUUCCUCAUCUGGCUCAAAAUUGUACAUCUGGAUUGCUCCAAUAUUGCUCAAUGUUUUUGUCACAUUCCGGUAACGUAAAUGUGAAUUCUUCCCCUACCCCUAAAGCUUCUUAAUGGGGUAGAGAAUGGCCAACAAUAGUUUUUUUUUAAGGGCCAACCCUCGCCGCGGACGGCUGCGUAUCCCUCCGCCGCGAGGUGGGCAAGAAGCGCUUUUCUUCACAUGGGUGAGCUCUGAAGAACAGAAGUUUACAUUUAAAUUCCUCAGUCUCACCAGAAACGCGGCGAUGGCCCCACCCGUCACAAAUCCAGCCAGGAUGUCGUUCCAGUGGUUUCUGUGCUCGGUCACCCUCACCACCCCCACCAGCACAGCCAGAGACAGAAGCACCAGGCACAAGGUGGGCUUCAUCAGGCGUGUCCCUUUGGUCUGAAACACCAGAGUCACGUACAUCUGGAAGACAAAAAACGAAGCCAGUAAAACAAAAGAAAAAAAAA